UAUCGAACACUUCGUGAUCGU
rnacentral:snRNA from 1 species